GGCUGUAGCUCAGUGGUAGAGCACUUGCCUUGCCAGUGUGAGGCCCUGGGUUCAAUCCUCAGCAUCA
rnacentral:tRNA from 1 species